rnacentral:rRNA from 1 species
UACAGAGGUCUCAAGCGUUGUUCGGAUUCAUUGGGCGUAAAGGGUGCGUAGGCGGCGCGGUAAGUCGGGUGUGAAAUCCCGGAGCUUAACUCCGAAACUGCAUUCGAUACUGCCGUGCUUGAGGACUGGAGAGGAGACUGGAAUUUACGGUGUAGCGGUGAAAUGCGCAGAUAUCGGGAGGAACACCGGUGGCGAAGGCGGUUCUCUGGGCCUUACCUGACGCUGAGGAGCGAAAGCGUGGGGAGCGAACAGGAUUA